rnacentral:rRNA from 1 species
UACGGAGGGUGCAAGCGUUAUCCGGAAUCACUGGGUUUAAAGGGGGCGUAGGCGGCUUGAUAAGUCAGGGGUGAAAGCCCGCAGCUUAACUGCGGAACUGCCUUUGAUACUGUCGAGCUUGAAAGAGGUUGAGGACAGCGGAACGUGACAUGUAGCGGUGAAAUGCAUAGAUAUGUCACAGAACACCGAUUGCGAAGGCAGCUGGCUGGACCUACUUUGACGCUGAGGCACGAAAGCGUGGGGAGCGAUCAGG